AUUUAUAAAUAUUAUAAAUAUUAUAUCUAACAUAAUGAGUAUCUAUAAUAUAAUAUAUUAUAGAUACUCAUUAUGCGUGUCUUCUCGUGCGUUAUAACGCACGUAAUUUUAAUCCUCGUGUGGGACAUUAGGGGGGGUCUUAAAAACUCGAUUCUCUUUACUAAACAUCAUCAUACAACAAGUUUUUAUCCUGGGGUGGGUACCCUUUUAAGGCACUUCUUACAUCAAGCAACAAACACAAACACCAAACCUCCUGACCUCCGAACUCGACAACUCAAACUCAACAACUCAAACUCAACAACUCAACUCCUGACCUCCGAACUCAACAACUCAACUCCUCAACUUUCAACUCAACCUACCCAUUCCUUGUUCCUAUUUCCAAAUUUCCUAGUUCCGAUUUCCCUCUCCUCUAAUUCCUAGUUUCAGUUUCGACCCUUCUCUUCUCCCCUCCGUGGUCCCCUUGCCGGAUCGGGGACCACUUCGGCCUCGCUUCGCUCCUUUUCUCUCAAGGUUUCUCAAAAAAGAAAAAGAAAUUACGUAAGUGAGCACAGAAACUUCUACCUUCAUCCGAAGUGGGAGCUCUAAAGGCUGUGCUUGGGGUAUCUUUCGAGAAUUGAUACCCCGGGGAAGUGGUAUUGGUGACACCACUUCCCUAUGCCCAUGUUGACCGACGUUGGCUCCAUACGGAGGGAACGGGGGAUUCUUUUGGUUGGGGAAUGUUUUUUGCUUAACACAUCAAAUCACAAAAAAACAUCCCCCUUAAGAAUCCCCCUCCGGUGGUGAAACAGAGAGAGACUGGCCCUUUAGGGACCAGUCUUUCCUUUAAUAAAUAUAACUCUCUCUAUUAUAAUAGAGAGAGCUAUAUUUAUUAUGUUAAUAAAUAGAUAUCUCUAUAUUAUAAUAUAGAGAUAUCUAUUUAUUAUGUAUUUAUAUAUUAUAAAAAUAUAUAAAUAUUAAAUUUAAAUAUUUAAAAUAAAUAUUAAAAUUAAAAAAAAAUAUUUAUAAAUAUUAUAAAUAUUAUAUCUAACAUAAUGAGUAUCUAUAAUAUAAUAUAUUAUAGAUACUCAUUAUGCGUGUCUUCUCGUGCGUUAUAACGCACGUAAUUUUAAUCCUCGUGUGGGACAUUAGGGGGGGUCUUAAAAACUCGAUUCUCUUUACUAAACAUCAUCAUACAACAAGUUUUUAUCCUGGGGUGGGUACCCUUUUAAGGCACUUCUUACAUCAAGCAACAAACACAAACACCAAACCUCCUGACCUCCGAACUCGACAACUCAAACUCAACAACUCAAACUCAACAACUCAACUCCUGACCUCCGAACUCAACAACUCAACUCCUCAACUUUCAACUCAACCUACCCAUUCCUUGUUCCUAUUUCCAAAUUUCCUAGUUCCGAUUUCCCUCUCCUCUAAUUCCUAGUUUCAGUUUCGACCCUUCUCUUCUCCCCUCCGUGGUCCCCUUGCCGGAUCGGGGACCACUUCGGCCUCGCUUCGCUCCUUUUCUCUCAAGGUUUCUCAAAAAAGAAAAAGAAAUUACGUAAGUGAGCACAGAAACUUCUACCUUCAUCCGAAGUGGGAGCUCUAAAGGCUGUGCUUGGGGUAUCUUUCGAGAAUUGAUACCCCGGGGAAGUGGUAUUGGUGACACCACUUCCCUAUGCCCAUGUUGACCGACGUUGGCUCCAUACGGAGGGAACGGGGGAUUCUUUUGGUUGGGGAAUGUUUUUUGCUUAACACAUCAAAUCACAAAAAAACAUCCCCCUUAAGAAUCCCCCUCCGGUGGUGAAACAGAGAGAGACUGGCCCUUUAGGGACCAGUCUUUCCUUUAAUAAAUAUAACUCUCUCUAUUAUAAUAGAGAGAGCUAUAUUUAUUAUGUUAAUAAAUAGAUAUCUCUAUAUUAUAAUAUAGAGAUAUCUAUUUAUUAUGUAUUUAUAUAUUAUAAAAAUAUAUAAAUAUUAAAUUUAAAUAUUUAAAAUAAAUAUUAAAAUUAAAAAAAAAUAUUUAUAAAUAUUAUAAAUAUUAUAUCUAACAUAAUGAGUAUCUAUAAUAUAAUAUAUUAUAGAUACUCAUUAUGCGUGUCUUCUCGUGCGUUAUAACGCACGUAAUUUUAAUCCUCGUGUGGGACAUUAGGGGGGGUCUUAAAAACUCGAUUCUCUUUACUAAACAUCAUCAUACAACAAGUUUUUAUCCUGGGGUGGGUACCCUUUUAAGGCACUUCUUACAUCAAGCAACAAACACAAACACCAAACCUCCUGACCUCCGAACUCGACAACUCAAACUCAACAACUCAAACUCAACAACUCAACUCCUGACCUCCGAACUCAACAACUCAACUCCUCAACUUUCAACUCAACCUACCCAUUCCUUGUUCCUAUUUCCAAAUUUCCUAGUUCCGAUUUCCCUCUCCUCUAAUUCCUAGUUUCAGUUUCGACCCUUCUCUUCUCCCCUCCGUGGUCCCCUUGCCGGAUCGGGGACCACUUCGGCCUCGCUUCGCUCCUUUUCUCUCAAGGUUUCUCAAAAAAGAAAAAGAAAUUACGUAAGUGAGCACAGAAACUUCUACCUUCAUCCGAAGUGGGAGCUCUAAAGGCUGUGCUUGGGGUAUCUUUCGAGAAUUGAUACCCCGGGGAAGUGGUAUUGGUGACACCACUUCCCUAUGCCCAUGUUGACCGACGUUGGCUCCAUACGGAGGGAACGGGGGAUUCUUUUGGUUGGGGAAUGUUUUUUGCUUAACACAUCAAAUCACAAAAAAACAUCCCCCUUAAGAAUCCCCCUCCGGUGGUGAAACAGAGAGAGACUGGCCCUUUAGGGACCAGUCUUUCCUUUAAUAAAUAUAACUCUCUCUAUUAUAAUAGAGAGAGCUAUAUUUAUUAUGUUAAUAAAUAGAUAUCUCUAUAUUAUAAUAUAGAGAUAUCUAUUUAUUAUGUAUUUAUAUAUUAUAAAAAUAUAUAAAUAUUAAAUUUAAAUAUUUAAAAUAAAUAUUAAAAUUAAAAAAAAAUAUUUAUAAAUAUUAUAAAUAUUAUAUCUAACAUAAUGAGUAUCUAUAAUAUAAUAUAUUAUAGAUACUCAUUAUGCGUGUCUUCUCGUGCGUUAUAACGCACGUAAUUUUAAUCCUCGUGUGGGACAUUAGGGGGGGUCUUAAAAACUCGAUUCUCUUUACUAAACAUCAUCAUACAACAAGUUUUUAUCCUGGGGUGGGUACCCUUUUAAGGCACUUCUUACAUCAAGCAACAAACACAAACACCAAACCUCCUGACCUCCGAACUCGACAACUCAAACUCAACAACUCAAACUCAACAACUCAACUCCUGACCUCCGAACUCAACAACUCAACUCCUCAACUUUCAACUCAACCUACCCAUUCCUUGUUCCUAUUUCCAAAUUUCCUAGUUCCGAUUUCCCUCUCCUCUAAUUCCUAGUUUCAGUUUCGACCCUUCUCUUCUCCCCUCCGUGGUCCCCUUGCCGGAUCGGGGACCACUUCGGCCUCGCUUCGCUCCUUUUCUCUCAAGGUUUCUCAAAAAAGAAAAAGAAAUUACGUAAGUGAGCACAGAAACUUCUACCUUCAUCCGAAGUGGGAGCUCUAAAGGCUGUGCUUGGGGUAUCUUUCGAGAAUUGAUACCCCGGGGAAGUGGUAUUGGUGA
rnacentral:lncRNA from 1 species